AUCUUGAAUAUAAUAACGGCAGAUUUAACAACACUUUCCCUGUGUUUAGCAAUGUUCUUAAACCUUAAAAUAUCAGUAGGAAUGUCAGUUCAGUCCCCCCCCAAAAAAAAAUACAAAAAAAACAGUAUGCACGUUGACCAUAUUUAGAUAUAACAGUAUGACGUAGAACCAUGCCAUUUCCAUGAGUCAACCCGAAUGCACGUCCGCA
rnacentral:lncRNA from 1 species